GAUGAACGCUGGCGGCGUGCCUAAUACAUGCAAGUCGAGCGAACAGACGAGGAGCUUGCUCCUCUGACGUUAGCGGCGGACGGGUGAGUAACACGUGGAUAACCUACCUAUAAGACUGGGAUAACUUCGGGAAACCGGAGCUAAUACCGGAUAAUAUAUUGAACCGCAUGGUUCAAUAGUGAAAGACGGUUUUGCUGUCACUUAUAGAUGGAUCCGCGCCGCAUUAGCUAGUUGGUAAGGUAACGGCUUACCAAGGCAACGAUGCGUAGCCGACCUGAGAGGGGGAUCGGCCACACUGGAACUGAGACACGGUCCAGACUCCUACGGGAGGCAGCAGUAGGGAAUCUUCCGCAAUGGGCGAAAGCCUGACGGAGCAACGCCGCGUGAGUGAAGAAGGUCUUCGGAUCGUAAAACUCUGUUAUUAGGGAAGAACAAAUGUGUAAGUAACUAUGCACGUCUUGACGGUACCUAAUCAGAAAGCCACGGCUAACUACGUG
rnacentral:rRNA from 1 species